UGGGGAAUAUUGCGCAAUGGGGGCAACCCUGACGCAGCCAUGCCGCGUGAAUGAAGAAGGCCUUCGGGUUGUAAAGUUCUUUCGGUGACGAGGAAGGCGUGAUGUUUAAUAGGCAUCACGAUUGACGUUAAUCACAGAAGAAGCACCGGCUAACUCCGUGCCAGCAGCCGCGGUAAUACGGAGGGUGCGAGCGUUAAUCGGAAUAACUGGGCGUAAAGGGCACGCAGGCGGCUAUUUAAGUGAGGUGUGAAAUCCCCGGGCUUAACCUGGGAAUUGCAUUUCAGACUGGGUAGCUAGAGUACUUUAGGGAGGGGUAGAAUUCCACGUGUAGCGGUGAAAUGCGUAGAGAUGUGGAGGAAUACCGAAGGCGAAGGCAGCCCCUUGGGAAUGUACUGACGCUCAUGUGCGAAAGCGUGGGGAGCAAACAGGAUUAGAUACCCUGGUAGUCCACGCCGUAAACGAUGAGUGCUAGGUGUUAGACCCUUUCCGGGGUUUAGUGCCGUAGCUAACGCAUUAAGCACUCCGCCUGGGGAGUACGACCGCAAGGUUG
rnacentral:rRNA from 1 species